AUUGAACGCUAGCGGGAUGCUUUACACAUGCAAGUCGAACGAGUGGCGGACGGGUGAGUAAUAUAUCGGAACGUGCCCAGUAGAGGGGGAUAACUACUCGAAAGCGUAGCUACUACCGCAUACUAUUGGAGCUGCCCAUAUCGGAUUAGCUAGUUGGUGGGGUAACGGCUCACCUCGGCGACGAUCCCUAGCUGGUCUGAGAGGAUGACCAGCCACACUGGGACUGAGACACGGCCCAGACUCCUACGGGAGGCAGCAGUGGGGAAUAUUGCACAAGGGGCGCAAGCCUGAUGCAGCCAUGCCGCGUGUAUGAAGAAGGCCUGAGGGUUGUAAAGUACUUUCAGUCGGGAGGCGUUACCGACAGAAGAAGCACCGGCUAACUCCGUGCCAGCAGCCGCGGUAAUAC
rnacentral:rRNA from 1 species